rnacentral:rRNA from 1 species
AUUGAACGCUGGCGGCAGGCCUAACACAUGCAAGUCGAGCGGAUGAAGGGAGCUUGCUCCUGGAUUCAGCGGCGGACGGGUGAGUAAUGCCUAGGAAUCUGCCUGGUAGUGGGGGAUAACGUCCGGAAACGGGCGCUAAUACCGCAUACGUCCUGAGGGAGAAAGUGGGGGAUCUUCGGACCUCACGCUAUCAGAUGAGCCUAGGUCGGAUUAGCUAGUUGGUGGGGUAAAGGCCUACCAAGGCGACGUUCCGUAACUGGUCUGAGAGGAUGAUCAGUCACACUGGAUCUGAGACACGGUCCAGACUCCUACGGGAGGCAGCAGUGGGGAAUAUUGGACAAUGGGCGAAAGCCUGAUCCAGCCAUGCCGCGUGUGUGAAGAAGGUCUUCGGAUUGUAAAGCACUUUAAGUUGGGAGGAAGGGCAGUAAGUUAAUACCUUGCUGUUUUGACGUUACCAACAGAAUAAGCACCGGCUAACUUCGUG